GACGUAGGGCGCGAGCGUUGUCCGGAUUUAUUGGGCGUAAAGAGCUCGUAGGCGGCUUAGAAAGUCGGGUGUGAAACCUCCAGGCUCAACCUGGAGACGCCACUCGAUACUUCUAUGGCUUGAGUUCGGUAGGGGACCAUGGAAUUCCUGAUGUAGCGGUGAAAUGCGCAGAUAUCAGGAGGAACACCGAUGGCGAAGGCAGUGGUCUGGGCCGAUACUGACGCUGAGGAGCGAAAGCGUGGGGAGCGAACAGG
rnacentral:rRNA from 1 species